GGUGAACGCUGGCGGCGUGCUCAAGACAUGCAAGUCGAACGGCAGUCUUCGGACUGUAGUGGCGCACGGGUGAGUAACGCGUAACUGACCUACCCCAAAGUCGCGGAUAACGAUUCGAAAGAAUCGCUAAUACGUGAUGUGCUGUCAGAUUGUGUUCUGCCAGUAAAGAUUGAUUGCUUUGGGAUGGGGUUGCGUUCCAUCAGCUAGUUGGUGGGGUAAAGGCCCACCAAGGCGACGACGGAUAGCCGGCCUGAGGGGGUGGCCGGGCACAGGGGCACUGAGACACGGGUCCCACUCCUACGGGAGGCAGCAGUUAGGAAUCUUCCACAAUGGGCGAAAGCCUGAUGGAGCGACGCCGCGUGAGGGAUGAAGGUCUUCGGAUCGUAAACCUCUGAAUCAGGGACGAAAGACACUUCGGUGGGAUGACGGUACCUGAGUAAUAGCACCGGCUAACUCCGUGCCAGCCGCCGCCGUAACAC
rnacentral:rRNA from 1 species